rnacentral:rRNA from 1 species
ACUCCUACGGGAGGCAGCAGUGGGGAAUAUUGCACAAUGGGGAAACCCUGAUGCAGCCAUGCCGCGUGUGUGAAGAAGGCCUUCGGUUGUAAAGCACUUCAGUAGGGAGGAAGGUAGUGUAGUUAAUACCUGCAUUAUUUGACGUUACCUACAGAAGAAGCACCGGCUAACUCCGUGCCAGCAGCCGCGGUAAUACGGAGGGGUGCGAGCGUUAAUCGGAAUUACUGGGCGUAAAGCGCAUGCAGGCGGCCUGUUAAGUCAGAUGUGAAAGCCCGGGGGCUUAACCUCGGAAUUGCAUUUGAAACUGGCAGGCUAGAGUCUUGUAGAGGGGGUAGAAUUUCAGGUGUAGCGGUGAAAUGCGUAGAGAUCUGAAGGAAUACCAGUGGCGAAGGCGGCCCCCUGGACAAAGACUGACGCUCAGAUGCGAAA